GAGCAUGGAGCAGGAGUCUGAGACCUUCUAACAAGCCACACAGAAGGAAGCUCAAGCCUCGUCGGUGCUCUCUCAUGUCAGAGUGGCUGCAGCUCUGCCUUGUGUAACUGAGCUGAAACUUGCUUUGUGCAGUGCAAGCUGCAGAUGUAAACAAAAUGCUGGAGAGGAAUAACACUCACCAAAACAUAUUAAUUGAGCAUUUGUGCAAGCAACAUCUCUCCACUUCCAACCUGGCCUGCCAGACCUGCCUGGCUCCCAUCUAAAGGUAAUGCUUGAGGUGGAUCUGGACUCUCCCAUCUGAUGAUGCAGUGCUGAGAACACUCAGAGCAAAGAGAUUUCCACGAGUAACAAGUUGGUUCUCCCAGGGUCACUGCAAGGAAAUCAGUCUGAAAGGUCAGAAUGGAAACUGAGCUUAGGGUGGAGCUGAGUAGGAGUGAAAUACAGAACAAGACCUGGGAGAAUCCAGAGGACCAGCUUAUUCACCAGCAUGUUUGGACGAAGAGUAUUAAGCACACUGGGCUAGUUUGAAGCUAGCUGGAGUGUUUUGGUGAGAGGAAUUGGAUUAUGAGCUGUGAAAAGGAAACAAUGGUGAUGGCUGCUUCACUCAGAGGCUUGCUGAGAUGUACAAAAACAAGAACAUAAAUAUAGAAAAGAGUUGCUCUCUGGAUCUGGCUACAUGCACUUAGAAUCAUAGAAUCAACCAGGUUGGAAGAGACCUCCAACAUCAUCCAGUCUAACCUAGCACCCAGCCCUAGCCAAUCAACCAGACCAUAGAAUAGAAUCAAGCAGGUUGGAAGAGACCUCC